UACGUAGGGUGCGAGCGUUAAUCGGAAUUAUUGGGCGUAAAGGGUGCGUAGGUGGUUAGAUAAGUUAGAUGUGAAAGUCCUAGGCUCAACCUAGGGAUUGCAUUUAAUACUAUUUAGCUAGAGUACUGUAGAGGAAAGUGGAAUUUCCGGUGUAGCGGUGAAAUGCGUAGAUAUCGGAAGGAAUAUCAGUGGCGAAGGCGGCUUUCUGGACAGAUACUGACACUGAGGCACGAAAGCCUGGGGAGCAAACAGG
rnacentral:rRNA from 1 species